ensembl:lincRNA
CCUGGGCUGGCCUCUGCCCCAUCCCUUUUUGCCCGGGCCGUCUGGGUUAUUCAGUCUCCCCGGCUGCUGGCCUUCCCCGCCCCCAACCUCCAGGCCACCGCGCACACACACCGCAGGCUCGCGCUGUCCCUGACUGACCCAGAAUCUCCCACCGAGCUCAGGACACAGAUGACACACAUCUCCUGCUACUGCCCAGCCCUGUCCGGCUUGGCCCGUGAGUACAGGCCAAGGAUGGGGGCAAACCACGCAGGCCGCAUCUGGCCCUCCAGCUCCCCUGGCACAGCUCUCCAUCAGGUCCUCAAAGCCAGGAGGUAACGGGAGGUUCUCCUAGGCAGUGACUGCAGCCGGGUGCUCGGGGCUGGACCUGGAAGUGUCCACGGAGGACACCCGAGAGGCCGCCUGACACUGGCUGGUAAAGGCCCCAGUUCAGUGCCCAGAGCGCCCAGCUCAGGGCACUGCUGUCUCCAAGCCAUGGGCCACCACCAGGCCUUGGAGGGGCACCCGGGGGUUCUGAGGCUCCUCCCCCAUGGAGGGAAAGGAGAGGGAGUAGGGCCUGAAAGCAGGGUGCUCACGGUCCUUGAGGGGGAGCCGGUUGAAGGCCCAGGGAGCUUAGCUGGGAGCUGCUGGAGGCUUCCUUCCGGGACCGGCCACAGCAGGAGUGCCUCGCUGAGAGAUGUAAAAGAGCAACAAAACAUGCUCCUGUCUUGCUCACCUGGACGUUGUAAGGACGGGAAGUGGAGGCUGUCAUGGAGCCAGGCUGGGGUCUGUGGAUACAAGAAUAAUACGAAGAUGGUGCUGAUCCUGGGGCAUCAGGACCACAGCCUGGAUGGAGGUGCAGGAAAGAGAGGCCAUCUUAGUUCGUGACCUGGACAUGUCCUUGGAAGCAACCUUGUCCCACCUCCCUCAGUGUGUGUGUGUGUUGGGGCGGGGGGCGGUGCGGCUUUACUGGGAAGGACCUGUCACCUCUGCCUAGGGCAGCCCGGGAUCCUUGUGUGCCUUCCAGGCCCUGGUUGCCUGGGCAGCGUCUGCUCCCACCCAGCUGAUGUAAACUCUUUGUGUGAAUUCUGCCUCUUAGUGGAUGCCGACUAAUGGACAGGUGACCUGUCUGGUCUGUCCAGCAUCCUCUGAGGGAGCGUAAGGAAGAAGAAGCCCAGAGGAGGACAGUGACUUGAGGUGACAGCUUAGGGGUGGAACCCCAGGGACCCAUGCCAAGUGACCUUAUUUGGUAUUUACAGAUGCAGCUGAUUCAAGGAUCUCACGAUGUAACUAGCCUGGAUUAGGCGGGGCCCUGAAUCCCGUGGCUGGUGUCCUUAGGAGAAAGGGGAGGGAGAUCUGAAACAAGGGCGCACAGGGGAGGGGCCGUGGGAGACUGGAGGGAUGCAGCCCGCGCCAGGGAAACCAGGAGCCGCCAGACGCUGGAGAAGCAGGAAGGACCCUCCCCUAGAGCUUCCAGAGACAGUAUGUCCUGCCGACACCUGAACUCCAGCUCCAGCUUCCAGAACUGUUAUUUAAUCCCCCCAGUUUGUGGUCAUUUGUUACGACAGCCCCAGGUCACGGAUGCAGGUCCUGCGACCACAGACUUGUUUCCAUGGAGACAGCCAGUCUCAGGGCUCCUGACAGGCGCUGCCAAUAGUAGGAGCUUCCACAGGCCCCGAUGGCCAUCCCAGGUGGGAGGGGUAAGGUUGGCAGGUGUGCGCUGCUCCCUGAUGGACACCCCCAACCUGUCAGGUGGCUCCCGCGUGGGUCCCUCGACACCCCACCCCACCCCCGAUGGCUGCUCUCCCGUGGACGGGGGCCCCUCCUGGAACCGAAUCUAGUGCUGGAGAAGUGAAAGCGCAGGGAGCUCGGCGCUGGGCCCUCACACCUGAUCCUUGGCCGUGGCUGCCCCCGCGACUCCUGCCUCUGCUCCUGCCGAACCCAGUCUCCCUGUGACCUCAGGUCACCUCCGUCCAUCAGCAUCAGACCCGAGUGGGUCCCCACCGUGAGGCUCUGCAGCACAGCUCUGGUUCGCGCUUCCUCCCAGCGUCAGUCUCACUCAGGGCUCAUCCAGCCUGCCCCUCGCAGUGUCUCCCAUCCAGGCCGCCUCCGGCGGGGCCGGACUCACGCACUUCCGUGGGUCCCUCCUGGACCCAAGCCCAGUUCUGGGGUGUGGGAACGAGGCACCACCACAGGGCGCGUCUGGGCACGGUGUGGGCCUGGGGUCAGAAGGAACUGUGGGGCCUCGGUCAAGACCACUGAGAACGCCCAGACGGUGGCAGCAGCAGGGGUCCUCCCGGGGGCGGCCAAGCGACCACACAGGAGACGAGCCAUGGAGGCUCAGCUGCAGGGGGGCCUUCUGCUUCGCAGUGGGGCCCGACUCGGGGCCUCCCUCCUAGCCCGAAUCCUGGCAGCGCCCCCCGGCACCCCGCCCACCUUCUUGGGACGCUUUCAUUUCUUAUGCAUCCUGAACAGAAGUGUGAACUCACACCACUCGGGUCACUGACUCACCCAAGUGCUGUUAGCUGCUAAUUAAUCAAAUCUUUGAUGAGCUGUAUUUCUUACCUUAAUUAAAAUAAUGAUGAUUAAUGGAGUGGGGGGCAUCUAGCUCUGCAGUUAUCCCGGACAGUUCUACGGAGCUCACGCCCAGUUCCAGGGCAAGCCCAGGCUGAGUGGGCAGUCAGGGUCCAGCUGACCUAGAAUUUCUGGUCACCCACUGCUCACUGCUCCCAGAGCCAUCCC